rnacentral:rRNA from 1 species
CACCGCGGUUAAACGGGAGACCCAAGUUGAUAGACAGCGGCGUAAAGCGUGGUUAAGAUAUUAAUUAAAUAGGAUUAAAUGGCCUCUAAGCAGUCAAAUACUAUCGAAGCCACAAAGCACAUCUACGAAAGUAACCCUAGCACUUAUGACCCCACGAAAGCCAUAACA